GUCAGUAUCUCAUUGAAUGCAACAAAGGAGACUGCACGUGUUUUACAGGAACAUCAUCCCGAACUUCUUGGAUUGGCAAUUCUAUACAGCUGUAAUAGCCUAAGUUCACCGCUAGCAUUUGGACUUCCUCUCAAAGUUUUAAACGUCUGAUAGAGGUUGCAAAGCCUUCCCUGGAGACAAAAACAGCCAAGAAAGUGAAAUUCGUUUACUCCAAGAGGACACUAGGAGGAUGUGUUCGAUAUGGACCAGCUGGUGCCUGCAUUUGGUGGAAACAAUAAUGCUGGUUUCAACAUAACCAAACAUGCUGAGAUGAUGAAACAAUGGUAAGCAGAAAAAGCUCAGAAAAACCUCAAACUCUUCUUGUGAAUCCUCAGAGAUUCAAGUUCAACUCAUGAAGGUUUAGUGUUUGAAGAGUGAAGAGAGUUCCAUAUCAAACUAUGCACUAAUCUCUCAUUCUUCUUGACAGUUGCUGAAGAAAUCUGUCCAUUAGUAUGUUGUGAGCUGACAGUGAUCUAAACAUGUUUGGUUGUGUUAAUUUUGUUUCAAGUCAAUAGUUCAUCUCUGAAACAGAAAGAUGGUAAGAAACGACGGAACUCUAAUGAUUUGUGAAAAAGGUGAAACAUUCAACUG